AGAGUUUGAUCCUGGCUCAGGAUGAACGCUAGCGACAGGCCUAACACAUGCAAGUCGAGGGGCAGCGGAGAGGUAGCAAUACCUUUGCCGGCGACCGGCGCACGGGUGAGUAACACGUAUGCAAUCCACCUGUAACAGGGGGAUAACCCGGAGAAAUCCGGACUAAUACCCCAUAAUAUGGGCUCUCCGCAUGGAGGGUCCAUUAAAGAGAGCAAUUUUGGUUACAGACGAGCAUGCGCUCCAUUAGCCAGUUGGCGGGGUAACGGCCCACCAAAGCGACGAUGGAUAGGGGUUCUGAGAGGAAGGUCCCCCACAUUGGAACUGAGACACGGUCCAAACUCCUACGGGAGGCAGCAGUGAGGAAUAUUGGUCAAUGGACGAGAGUCUGAACCAGCCAAGUAGCGUGAAGGAUGAAGGUCCUACGGAUUGUAAACUUCUUUUAUAAGGGAAUAAACCCUCCCACGUGUGGGAGCUUGUAUGUACCUUAUGAAUAAGCAUCGGCUAACUCCGUGCCAGCAGCCGCGGUAAUACGGAGGAUGCGAGCGUUAUCCGGAUUUAUUGGGUUUAAAGGGAGCGCAGACGGGUCGUUAAGUCAGCUGUGAAAGUUUGGGGCUCAACCUUAAAAUUGCAGUUGAUACUGGCGUCCUUGAGUGCGGUUGAGGUGUGCGGAAUUCGUGGUGUAGCGGUGAAAUGCUUAGAUAUCACGAAGAACUCCGAUUGCGAAGGCAGCACACUAAUCCGUAACUGACGUUCAUGCUCGAAAGUGUGGGUAUCAAACAGGAUUAGAUACCCUGGUAGUCCACACGGUAAACGAUGGAUACUCGCUGUUGGCGAUAUACUGUCAGCGGCUUAGCGAAAGCGUUAAGUAUCCCACCUGGGGAGUACGCCGGCAACGGUGAAACUCAAAGGAAUUGACGGGGGCCCGCACAAGCGGAGGAACAUGUG
rnacentral:rRNA from 1 species